rnacentral:rRNA from 1 species
GACGAACGCUGGCGGCGUGCUCAACACAUGCAAGUCGAGCGGUAAGGCCCUCGGGUACGACGAGCGGCGAACGGGUGAGUAACACGUGGGUGACCUGCCUUUAGCUCUGGGAUAAGCCUGGGAAACGUGGGUCUAAUACCGGAUAUGACCUCAUGACGCAUGUUGUGGGGUGGAAAGCCUUGUGCGGCUAGAGAUGGGCCCGCGGCCUAUCAGCUUGUUGGUGGGGUGA